UACGGAGGGUGCGAGCGUUGUCCGGAAUCACUGGGUGUAAAGGGUGCGCAGGCGGACUUAUAAGUCAGAGGUGAAAUCUCACUGCUCAACAGUGAAACUGCCUUUGAUACUGUAGGUCUUGAAUUAGGGAGAGAUUCGUGGAAUUCCGAGUGUAGCAGUGAAAUGUGUAGAUAUUCGGAAGAACACCAGAGGCGAAGGCAGCGAAUUGGCCCUAUAUUGACGCUCAGGCACGAAAGCAUGGGGAUCAAACAGG
rnacentral:rRNA from 1 species